GUCUAACAUGGAACUCUCAUGUUGAUCACAUAGUGGUUAGGUUGUCAAGAGUUAUGUAUUUGUUGAAGAUACUGAUGUGUUGUGUGACGUUUGAGUACAUAAGGACAGUGUACUUUGCCUUUUUUUCAAUCUGUUUUAAGGUAUGGGUUAAUACUCUGGGGAAACGGCAGAAAAAUAAAUGAAAUUAUGGUGAUCCAGAAGAAAGCAAUCAGAGUAAUGGCUAAGUGAAAUAUAUGAUGCAGUUCCUCUGGAGACAACAGAACACUCAGACAGAAGAGGCUCCACUCAAGAAUGUAACCAGCAGCUGACUAUCAAAGACAAGCCUGCCCUCAUACAUGUAAAUGUCACAAAACCAUUUUCAAAUGAAGCAGCUUUAAUAACAUUGGCAAAAGAGGACUCAGUGUCAGAAUCAACAGCUACAACAAUGGCAGAAACAGAAAGGACUGUCAAAUCACUAGCAACAGAAGAUCUCAGAUGCAGUGAAAUCGACAAAAGGAGAAGAAUGGUGAUGGGAGGAGCAUGAUUACCAUAUGCAAGGCAAGAAUCAACAGCUGCAGUAGCAGCAACUGUAGAACAACUAGCAUGUUGCAGUGUGAGUAAAAGGAGGACAUCUAAAGGAUUGUUUUUACAGAAUGGAGGGAGAAGAAGUGCCAAAGAUAGCCCUGAUUGCUCUUUUCUGCAUCCUAAAGAUCUUCAUGCUGGCAGCUGAAUUUCCCCAGAAGAUUAGCCCAUAUCAAAGUAGUGCAUGGAAGUAUGCAUAAUAUGCCUGAAUAGCUGUUGACUUGCU